UUCAGAACAGGAGUGCAUUCAGAAGCAUCCUCCGGCGAGGCUGGGAAGCUGCUCACAUCCCCGGAAAAUUCAGUGGGAGAAAAAGUUUAUGGAAGCGAGUAGGAGUUUAUUCAACAGUGUCUGAGCCCUUUCAGAACCAUGAGUUCACAAGGGCACGAAGUGCAGUAUAUAAAAAGAGGAUAAUGACUUGACUUGAGUGCAGGAAAAGGCCCAAUGAACAGAGCAGCCAAGCUUGCCCGGACGAGAAUAGAUGAAAGUUUGGAGAAGAGUCAAGAAGAAAUGGCAUUGUCUGCAUGCAAACAUAUACUGAAACCAUCUCCCUGCCAAGCUCUGUGCUAAACACUGGGAAUAUAAUGCAUAUGAAAUCAGAAGUUAUCCUAUCGACUAG
rnacentral:lncRNA from 1 species